UUUUUUUUUCUUGCAGUUGCUGAUUGACACAUUGUAUUAUUGGAUCCUCCUGAAACUACACAGUCUGUCACAGAUGUUAGUGAUGCAUUUUAAGAACCUGUUGCUUCUAGAUCUUUCACUUUGUCUGCCAGACAAAGUAACCUUGCAUAUUUCCACUCUAGGAUGAUGAUGAUGAUGAUGAUGAUGAUGAUGAUGAAGAGACCACAUCUGCUGUGACUGAAUUAGAAAGUGGUGGGAGACCCACAGAGAAUCUAGCUGGGGAUGUACAUGCAGAUGAGGGUCCAUCUACCUCUACACAUAAUCUUAGCAGUUUGUCUGCAAAGGAGCUGUAUAAGGUCCAUCUAUUAAGGCAAAUUAAAAAAAAAAAAAAAACUGACAUGGACCUUAUACAGCUUCAGCUAGAGGAGAAAAGGCUGGCCAUUAAAAAGGCCAAACUUGAAAUAGAACUACUGGAGCAUCGCCUUAAGGAUAUGAAGAAAUGGAACACAUUAAAUAAAGUGAUUUUUGACAAAUCAUGUCUCUAAGCAUUCUGCUCUGUGGUCUGCUAGAUUCAAUGGGUGUUGUUCUAGGUCAUCUUCAUCAGGACAGGGGGGAUGCCUCUCUCCUCUUAUUGUGGCAAUGUUGUGAAGUACCACACAAGCAACUGUGAUGUCACAUGCCCUAUUUGGAGUGACCCUGAGCCCACGCAGACGCUGAAACCUCGCCUUCAGAAUGCCUAUUGUCAUCUCCACCUUGGCCUGUGUUCUGCUGUGAGACAGGUUGAAGCGUGUAUGUGGUCCGGGAUCAGGGUAGGGUGUCAUCAUAUAGGGGAGGCAAGGGUAUCCUCUGUCCCCCAGCAAGUAACCAUAGAAGUGUCCUGUAAUGUUUGAAGUGUUUUGUAAAUGUAAUAAAGACUACAAGCAUUUGUCUAACAAAAUGUACCCUGUUAAAAUUUGUUGUAGAGAUGACUCUCUAAAUAUUCUGGCAUCAUGUACAGACCCAGGCCAUUUUGCUUAGUGAUGAGGUGGGUUGCAUCACAUUUUACCUGUGGAGAACAAGAAGUUUAUUAUUUGUAACACCAAUAUUAAGGAGCCAAAAUAUAGCUAUUACCUGCACAUUGAUGCUAUGCACAGACUUCAUUAACAUAGUCUCCCUCAUUGAUAGAUGGAGCUUUAAUAGGAAUGUGGGUGCCAUCAAUGCAUCCCAUCACGUUUGGGAACCCUGAAAUUAAGAUUAAUUACACGUUUAAGAAGUCUGUGUAGCCUUUACGUGUGUGUGUGUGCAGUCAAAAUAAACCUAUUAAGAAAUGUUAUUGAAGUAGAUGACAAUUUCUGAGAGCAAACCUGCCACCCUCUGGAAUUCUUCUUUAAUAAAGCGCACAGGUUUAUGGUCAGGGAACUGUACAAAAGUGUGUAGAAACCGUUUCAGUGCCAUGCAUACUGUACGAACGGCUCUACACACUGUUGCCUUUACCACAUGCUCUGCAUCGGCCACAUUGUAGAGAAAACUCCCCGUAGCAAAAAAUCGCAGAGCAAUACAAAGAAUUUGUUCGGCGCUAAGCGCUGACCCGCGGUUUGUCACGUUUGAGAUGUGUGGUUUUAGUAGGUUUGUUAAAUAAAUUAACCACUCCCUAGAAAAACGAUAGCGCUCCUGCAAAUAUUCGUUAGGAUAAGAAAAGACAUCGAUACGUGGUCUUAUCACCCUCUCACGGCGAAAAAAAACCCGUAUAAUCUGUGCCUCUACGUCCACAGGAUCCUCAUCAAAAGGGCACGCCAUGCUCUGAAACAAACUAACCCUGCAACAUAUCUAUCCUCAGAGAGUCAGUUGCUAUGGUUACUUACAUAACCCGAAAGUUACCUCCGAUUUUGGAACCGAAAGCAGAGGUUAUCCGCUACUUACUCCUAAACUUACCCGGGUAAGUCACAUAACCUGCUUUCUGGAAUACUGGCCUGAGAGAUACAAAAACUGAUUAUAGGACUAAUUGUUCUUAAAGAUGUUUUUGAAGUUGCAAACAAAUGUUUAAAAACAUUAAUAUAUUAUUAUAUUCCAUAGAACGUUAGUUAAAAUAUAAUCACAUUAUCCCCUAACAU